rnacentral:lncRNA from 1 species
AUGAGUCAAAGGAGCACAGUUCCUCAUAUUCUACUAAAAUAAUCAGUUUAGGGUUUCUUACACCGGAAUCAGCCACAAUCAAAAACGACCGUCAUCGUGUCAUCUGGUAGGUGCUUCCGCCAGUGAAACUCCGAUUAGUUCUUAACCGCCAUACGAACGGGUAGCUGAAGCAGCUCCCCAAUGAAAUGAACGGCGGUUCUCCUCUCUCACGACUCCGGUUAAUUCUUAACCGCCAAACCAACAGGUGGUUGAAGCAACGCCGGAAUCAGACGAUCAGUGGCUCUCCUCUUUCUCAAUCAGUAUGUUUGAAUCUUUAAUUUGUAACUAUUUUCUUUUUAAAUUUAAUCAAAUUUUGGUUUUCUGAGCUGUUCUAGUAUAUAUAUACAAAAACAUAAACCUAAAGUCUAUCUCUUUCAACAUCCUCUCUCUAUCCCUCUGUAACCUAAGUCUCACCACCGUCACUCCAGCCACACAGUCCGCCCAGCACCGUGUAACCUAAGGUCUCACCACCGCCACUCUAGCCACCAUCCACCACUCAGCCGCCACCUAAACGCCUCACCACCACCACUUCGACCAUCGACACCAGAAUCACCAUCACCACCACUUCAACCCAUGUAACCUACCUCAGAUCUAAAACCCUUGUAGAUCUAGGAAAUUAUACCUAAACCCUAAAAAAUCUACUCGUCAAUUUGCGAUACUGGUUUUGAAAUAAAAAAAAGUGAGGGUUUCGCCGGAUAGAGAGGAGACCAUUGAUGUUUUAGUCAGCAAUCGAACAAUCAAACAACAGAGGGCUUGUGCGAAUAAACAGAUCUUGCUCAGAUCCGUUGCACAAUUCACCACUAGAAGAUCUCCUGAAUGAGGCUGGUGCCGGAAGCGUUGGUUGCUGAAAAAAAGAUGAUUGAAAGGUUUUAGAGAUUGGAAUUGGUGAUGCGGUGGUUAGAGAGAGAAAGAGUAGGGUGGGUAAUGGUAACAUAGUGGUGGUUUCAGGUAGAGGUGGUUUUAGGCUGUGAUGGUGGUGGUGACAACACUGUGGUGGUGGUGGUGGUAGUGACGAUUGAGAUUUUGAAUGAGAGAGAGGAGUUGUUGAGAGAGACAAAGUUUUGGUUUUUAUAUUAACAAAUGGAUAAAAUAAAAUUACAAGGUAA